AGUCACCACUCAGUUCUCACUCAUUGCAGAAGGAUUCAUACCAGGGGGAAAUGUGGAAGGCAUUCCAUCAACAUCAGAGAACUCAUGCUGGAGAAAGACAUUCCAAAUAUAACUAUUAAGGACAGUCUUUGGCCAGAGCAGAAAUCUUACUAUCUGAGAAUCAUAAUGAAAAGUUACUACAUAAUUGUUAUUGAUGUGAGAAAACUUUCUGUGACCAGGUUGUCACUUGCUUGUCCUAUAAAGAGCCAUGCUGGAAUUUGACCCACCUUGGGAUUUUCUCUAUGAACUUAUGAAAACCUUCAGUUACAGAAAAACUGCUUAAGGUUGAAAAGCGAAAUUUAAGAAAUUGCUGACGGAAUAAAAACAUAAUAGAACUAGAACAUUGAAGGAAAUGAAAGAAGCAAGAAGGAAAGCACCAGAAGUGAUUUGGAAGAGAAAUUCUAAAAUGAAUGUGAACAACAGAGUGAUCAGAAGAGUGUAGGGAAUUAAUAGUUUCUUUAAACAAGCCAUCUCACAAUGGAAGCCUGUUUGUCUUGAAAUUGCUGUGGUUAUUAUUCACUCUGCCCUUUGAAGAACUGCAGAAAUUCAUAGGGCAAUGUUAAGUGUUUGUGUCUCCAAAAAAGAUGUUGGAGUCGUUACCCUCAGAACCUCAGGUAUUCACGUUAGUUAAUCCAUUAGGUUAGUUCCUAAUUGACUAUGACUGUGUCCUUAUAAAAAUGGGAAAUUUGGUCACAGAGGCAGAUGUACAGAGGGAAGACGAUGUGACGACACAGGAAGAACAUCUUCAAGCCAAGGAACACAUGGGGCUACCAGAAGCCGAGAUAGAAGCAUGGAACAUAUGUUCUAGUAAGAAGUGUCUGGGUUGUUUUGGUUUUUUUUCUUUGGAGUUUUUGUGGUAUUAAAUUAUUUUUAAAUUAUGUUUUAUUGUAGACCUCAC
rnacentral:lncRNA from 1 species